rnacentral:lncRNA from 1 species
GGAACUCUUCCGGGGCGUGGCGCGUGCGCGAUCGCCGAGGCGCGCUGUCCGGGUGGUGGGAGCUCAACCCGCGACCGCGGCUACGAUUCUCUUGGCUCCUGCCCUCGCCUUAGUCGCUCUGCGGGGUUGGUUCGGUCCCGGCACUUCCAGAGGCCUCAGGGUCCUGGUCUUGUAGAGACUUCCUGAACGGUGGCGCCUGUUCCAGUGUGUCAUUGCAGAUGAUCCCUUGAAAAGAAGUCUGAUCACAUUCACACUCUGCUCCGCCCAUUUCACUCAGUAAAGCUGAAGUCCUGCAGUGCUUUGCUCUGCCUCCGGUCACCCCGCCAUACUCCCAGACCCUCCCUCCCUCUCACUCCACUCCAGCUGCCCUGGCCUGGUUCAGAGUCCCUGACUCUUCCCUCCCCGGAAACACUUUCUGGCGGCUCUUGUCCCCGACUCUUCCCACCUGCUCUUUCAGUCUUUGCUCAAAUGUUGCCUCUUCAGUGUGGCCUAGGCCGUCACCACCCGGCCUUCACCGCAUACCUUUUUCUCUGCAACACCUACUCAACACACCGUACUAUAGAACUUACUGGCAUGCUAUAAAUGUAUUACCCUUAUCUGUUGCCUCUAACCAAAAGCGUGUUCCAUGAGAGCCAUGGGUCCCUGCCUACUUCUGUCUUGUUUCUGGGGCAGCCUCUGUACCUGGACAUCGUAUACUCUUAACACGGAUUUGUCAAAUCAAAUGAAAUUUAACAAUACAAACUUCACAAGUAUGCAUAGUGUAGGAAAAUUCCCCAAAAUUCAAAAUUUCAGUCUACCUCCAUCUUUUCAAAUGACCACAGUGCUUUAUAAAAUGACAUGGUCCUUUGAGACUGUUUCAGAGAGUAAUUUGUGCAAAUGCAAUGUGCAAAAAGUCACAGUGGAGGUGUUUCCUCCCCCAUUCAAGAGCUGCUCUCUCUCUAAUCAGACAGCACCCCACACCCCAAGGCAGUCUGUCCAGUGCUCCUAAAGGAGAGCAGCUCCCCUUUUCCAGUUAUGGGAGAUGUGGGCAAUAAAGCAUUACUGUCAAUGCCGUGAUGUUCACUGCAACAUAUGCUUGAUGUUUUCAUAAUUUUAUCCAUCUUUUUCAGACAUCUUACUGCAGAACACUGUAUGUUUUCCAAUUAUUAUUUUUCAGAAAUGUGGUUUACAGCUUCUAUCAGGAUUAGCUUCAGCUUCAAGUGACAAAAGUCACUUGAAAUAUGAGUUGCUGAAACAAGAUGGCAGUCUCUCCCCUCAACAGGACUGUUACAACACCUUAUCUUCAGAGAACCAGGCUCUCUGCAACAUUUCAGGGACGUCGUUCAGUACCUUAUGUGGAAUUCAAGCUUAGCUGGGCAUCCUAUGUUUUAACUGGCUAACUCGUGGAACUCUCAACUUGGAUCAAGUGGUAGUGGAGUCCCAGGGACUCUGAGCAGCCAGUGUGUGAUACUGCAGGGCAGCACACCCUGGGGAGGCCAACUGUACAGAAUAAAAUUAAUGCUUUCUAUCUUUAGCAACUAAAGUUCUGAAAUAUAAAAAGGACCUCACAGCUUAACCCAUGUUAUACGGUGGGGUUUUCCCAUGAACAUCACGCGUUUCCAGCUGGGCACUCCUGCAGCAUGGCUAAGAUGACAACUCAAGUUCCCUGGGAGUGGGGGUUCCUGGGAUGUGAACCUUUCGGUGCAAAAACUGGAGAAGUUCCAGUUGGGACCCCAGGCAUAGAUACUAGGAUAAAUAGGGCCUCUCUCCUCCAGGAGCAUCAAUUUAACCCAAAGAUUCUUGGAGUCAGUUUCACAUAAGUAAUCUUGUUGAAAAUAGUAAUCCCAACAGAUCUAUUUUUCCAAAUGCACCAUUUGCAUAAAUCUCAGAAAAAAGACAACUUCAAGAACAUACCUUUGCUGGGCACCAUGGCUCAUGCCUGUAAUCCCAACUACUUGGCAGGCUGAGGCACGAGGAUCACUUGAGGCCAGGAGUCUGAGAUCAGCUUGGGCAACUGAUUUAUGGUUUGGAUUUGUGUCCAUGCCCUUCCUCUUCUGCCAUGAUUAUAAGUUUCCUGAGGCCUCCCUAGCCAUGCUUCCUGUACAGCCUACAGAACUAUGAGUCAAUUAAACCUCUUUUCUUUAUAAAUUA